rnacentral:rRNA from 1 species
AACGUAGGUCACAAGCGUUGUCCGGAAUUACUGGGUGUAAAGGGAGCGCAGGCGGGAAGACAAGUUGGAAGUGAAAUCUAUGGGCUCAACCCAUAAACUGCUUUCAAAACUGUUUUUCUUGAGUAGUGCAGAGGUAGGCGGAAUUCCCGGUGUAGCGGUGGAAUGCGUAGAUAUCGGGAGGAACACCAGUGGCGAAGGCGGCCUACUGGGCACCAACUGACGCUGAGGCUCAAAAGUGUGGGUAGCAAACAGG